GAUGAAGAACGUAGCGAAAUGCGAUAAGUAAUGUGAAUUGCAGAAUUCAGUGAAUCAUCGAAUCUUUGAACGCACCUUGCGCCCUUUGGCCAUUCCGAAGGGCAUGCCUGUUUGAGUAUCAUGAACACCUCAACUCUUCAUGGUUUUCCAUGAUGAGCUUGGACUUUGGGGGUCUUGCUGGCCUGUGGGUCGGCUCCUCUCAAAUGAAUCAGCUUGCCGGUUUUUGGUGGGCAUCACAGGUGUGAUAACUAUCUACGCUUGUGGUUUUCCACCAGGGUAACCUUCAGCAGUGGAGGUUCACUGGAGCUUACAAAUGUCUCUCCUCUGUGAGGACAGCCCUUUGAAUGUUUGAUCUCAAAUCAGGUAGGGAUACCCGCUGAACUUAAGUAUAUCAAUAAGCGGAGGA
rnacentral:misc_RNA from 1 species